AUUAUUUGCAACUUUCAACACCAGCUAGAGUCAAACUUGCAUCUUCGAGCACUUUCAGCAGAUUGGCUGAAGUACGUGGAUUCUGUUCCUACGAUGGGUUCUGCUUCUCAUGUUGUGAGAAAUUCUGUACGAGCGUCCAUGAAACAUGGAAUUGGCAGGAAGAGAGCUAGGUUUUUGGAGCUGGAUACAACUUCAUCUUCAAGUUCUGCAAAUGGAUUGAUCUUAUUUUGGUGGAGAGGUGGGAGAAUUUCACGUCAGCUGUUCAAUUGGAAGGUUCUGCCUCGCUCUUUAGCUUCCAAAGCUGCCCGACAAGGUCUGGAGUAUCUAUUCUUCUGUUUAAACUUAGAUCCUUGUGGAAAACACACUUUUCUGAAUAUGUUUGAAGUUUAAACUGUUGCAGGUGGAUGCAAGAAGAUACCAGGCAUCCUUUACCCUGAGAGUGGAGAAUACGCAAAAAGGAGUAAAUGUGUUGCCUGGCGAGCUUCUGUUGAGACAUCAAUAAGCGUGGAACAGCUUGCUUUCCAGGCAUGUCUCUCUUAUGAUUCAAUAUGCCUCCCACCUUCAUUCCAAUAUUUGCUUUCCAUUCACCUUGGCCUAAAGGCCAACCAGAUGUAAAAUGAUUGCUGGCGCCAAACUCUCUAAAGGGCCUGCCUUUUCUUUUAUUAUAUUUUAUUCACCAAGUGAUGGUCUAUGGGAAUUUAGUCUAGCUGUCAAAGAAUAUCACAUUUAUGAUACUUAAAUUUGUUUAGAUUCCUGGUCUGUACGAUGAAAACAUUCUCUGAACAGCUAUUGGCUCUACAUUUUACCCCAUCCAACAGGGGAAAGAGAUAAGAACAAAGCAAUAUGUUGCAACUUAACUAAGGGGGUGUUUGAUAUCCAUUUUCUUGUAAAAAUGCAUUUUAGAAUAAUAAAUUGAUGGGAAAUGUGUGGUUGAAAAAUAAGGAAAUUUUUUUGAUUUACGUAUAAUAUUAUUUUAAUAAAGAAUGUGUGGUUGAAAAGAAGAGAAAAAAAUGCAUUUUGAAAAAAAUGAGUACCAAACGGGGCCUAAGUUAUUUGUCGUUGACAUUUUUCAUGUGCCCAGGUCAGAGAGCUUGAUGCAAAUAUCAGAUGGGAUGACAUUGGGAACCCGAACCUUCUAUCAAAGAUGGACAAGGAGUCCAAAAAGUCAGCCAAAUUAUUCAAAAAAGUUAUUAUACGUAGAAAGUGCUCUGAGGGAUCAGUGGUUAGGUAUCUUCUUGAUUUUGGCAAGAGAAGAUUUAUCCCUGAUAUUGUUGUGAUACACGGAUCCAUGCUUGAAGAUUCCUCUAGUGAAAGGAAGAAAUAUUGGCUGGAAGAGUCUCAUGUUCCAUUGCAUCUCCUGAAAACGUUUGAAGAGAAAAGAAUUGCUCGCAAAUCAAAUAAGACAUGCUCUGGAAAACUUCGUGAGAGCAGUGUGGUAACGAAUAAAACCUUCAAGGAAAAGGGAUUUUCAUACCUUUUCUCAAGAGCAGAGAGAUUGGAAAAUUAUCAGUGUGGACACUGUAACAAAGAUGUUCUCAUCAGGUAUGAUAUGAUUAUUAAUUGUUAAUAUUGGAAUUUCUUUUAGAAAAAACAGGACUAUAUUUUUAUCAAAGAAAGGGAAAAUGAGUGGCAGUAGAUAACAAGUUGUUCUUAGACAAACAAGACCCUUCUAAUAGUUCUUAGAUUCGAAGUAAAAUCAAAAGAUAACCAAACAUAAUAUGCAGUUACUUUUGAAUAUGCAGUCUUGCUUUAUAGUUGUAGUUUUACAACAUAAGGUUUGAGUCAUUCCUUUUGAUAUUUUCUUUUGUGAGGUUAGAUAAUCUAGAUGGUUAGUUAAUUUUUAUUUUUUUUAUUUUUCUCUGUUGGACAUGUGUGUUGGUGUACCCACAUUGGCUUUCUUUAUGGUAGAUACAUGAUUUGAUAUUGGUGUGAGGUUAUUUGUGCAUGGACAAGUUUUUCCUUUUAUGUUACAAAUUAUAUGCGUAUUGGUUUAAAAGUAGUAUGUAUAUCCAUGAUUCAUUAAUUUGAAUAGUAUUAGAGAACGUUGUGGCUUAAACUGUUUAUGUUUGCUUGUGAAUCACUUUUUGGCCUCUGAAUUUGCAGUCUCAGUGAUCAGUUUUCUCUUGUCCAUUUGCAGGGAAGCAGUGAGUUGCCAGUACUGCAAAGGUAAACUUCUCUUUGUGGAAGAGUUUCUGGUUUAUGUGUUUCUUCAAUUAUCCCUAUAUUGCAAAGACAAAUCAAUUGUUGCAUUUGCCAAUCUGUCUUCAUCAUUGUUUAAUUCAGCAUGCAUGAGAAAGGAAUUCAAAGUAUUUUGAUUGUUUAAACAUGGUUCAAAUUUCUUUUAUUAGUCUACCAUCUUACUGUUUCAUCUUUUUCUUUUCAUGCUUAGUUGGUGCAAUCACAACAAAUGUUGAAAUUUUAUUUUACUUGGACCAAUUUAAACCCAUAUAUUUCUGUUUGCAAACCUGACUUUUCAAAAUUGUUAGGCAAAACUAGUUGUGUUAAAUUAAAUCAACAUAUUGAUUUGGAGUUGUGUAAUGAAAUUUCUGGACUUUCUUCAUUAUCAGAUACCAAAUAACUUUCUCCUUCUAUGUUGCCUGCAGUGUUUCUGUAGGAGUUGAUGUACAUAACUGUAAUCAUCCAAUACUUACACGAUUGAGUUGUUUAGUGUUGGCAUUCUUUUUUUUUUUUAUUUUUUAACUCGGGCACACUUGUUAAUCACAUUAAACUUGAGACCUUUAUGCUUUGCCAUGAAAUAGAGAUUAUCACAACUGUUCAUUUUCUUUAGACCACUGAAUGAUGAUUUUUUUGACGUUUUAUGCUUUGCCAUGAAUUAGAGAUUAUAUCAACUGUUCAUUUUCUUUAGACCCUGAAUGAUGAUUAGUUUGGACAGUCUUAUUGGUUUAUCAAGGCUCACUGGAAUUAUUGCUUUAUGUUCAUUUUGGAACUGAAAUUUUUCCUACCUGCAUGCAGGAAUAGUUAUAGAAUAUUGUUAAUAAAUAUAACUCUACUGUCAAUUGUAUUAAGCGUGUAUCAUUUUCUAAAAUAUUUUCCCUUAAAUAUUGAACUGUUCUUCUAGUAGUUUUCUUUUUUACGUUAGCGAUGAUCUGGAUUCGGGGGUUGGCUUGGCUUUGCUAUUGAAGGUCUGGUGGUGCUUGAUUGUGCCUUAAAAAAGUUUGUUAGUGAUUUUUAAUGUGGGUCUGAAAUUGAUGGUAGUUGAUGCUUGUGCCAACAGAAAGGUGCCAGUAGCAGUUGGGUGGUGCUGGCAGUGAUGUCAGGAAACAGUAAAAUAAGGAGAUAUAUUGGGGUUACAAAUAUAAAUUUGUAUCUUUGUGGAUUGAACUAGUUUUAAAUUUGAAAUAGUGGAUAUACUACAUGCUUGAUUCACGUGACUUCCCAUGAUUUAUGAAUUACUUCUAAAAAACACUUAAAAUAUCAACUUAUUUAUAUUUUUAUGGAUUUUCAGGCUUUUUCCAUAAAAGACAUGCAAGGAAGUCUGCUGGGUCCAUCGUCGCUCAGUGUACAUAUACAUGCCAUAAAUGUCUCGAUGGGAAGUCCAUGGAAAUGGAUACUAAGACGGGGAAGUCCAAGCCACCAAAAAGUAAGAAAGCAUCAAAAUUAUUGAAGCCGUUGGGCUUCAGAAAAGGGAAAAAGUUGGGCAAAGACAGGCAACGAGUGCAAUCCCAAAAGAAUAAAAUGGUUCAACUUCUUGUACCCCUGCGCCGUUCUGCCAGGCAUGCUAAACCUGUCGUAAAGACGUCCGUGCUGGAUACAAAGAUCAAAAGACGGAAGAAAGGGAAACAAGCUAAAUCAAAAAAAGACAAACCGAAGAAGCCAGACAAACUGAAGAAACCAAAAAAUAGUAGUUGGCAGAAGAAGAGAACGCUGGUCAAUUAUAGUUACUGGUUGAAUGGUCUUCGGUUGUCAAGAAGGUUAAAUGAUGAAAGGGUGAUGCAUUUUAGAAGUAAUUUGCUUGUCCUUAAUGGGGAGUCGACUUCCAUUGCAUGUAUGCCGAAAUGCAGCCUCUGUGGUGAAUUAGAAUUCAAAUCUGAGCUGAAUUAUGUUUCUUGUGAGAUAUGUGGAGGUAACAAGCUUUACACGUGAUUUAUCUUACUUGCACUAAAUAAACACACGUAUGCUGUGAAAGAUUAUUAUCUCUAUCUUGAAUUAACUGCUGGCUGAGAAAAAUCGUUUUAGAGUUAUUGCCUGUAUAAGAAUAACUCUUAAUAUUCAUGAUAGAUGACAGUUACAAUUUUAUAUAGUUACGUAUGCAUGACUGACGUUUGGCACAACCAGCUCAGGGAAGGCACCCAAAUUUGUCGAUAUAAUUAGUUUACUAUUAAAUUACAAAUUUUCACAAUUUGCAGAUUGGUUUCAUGGAGAUGCUUUUAAUCUCAAAGCUGAAAAAGUUGAAAAGCUCAUUGGAUUUAAGUGCCAUAAGUGUCUUUAUAAGAACCCUCCAGUUUGCCCCCAUGUUUGCUACUGAAAGCAGCCAAGCUGUGCUUUUUCCAGAAAUUAAUGUCGGGUGUGAAUGCACUGGGAAAGAAUCUACUGGUCUAUCCUUCUUGGAGAAAACAUUUACUGAUUAGAAAUUUCUGCCAAAUGAAGAAUCUAAUGAGGCGUUCUUGAUUGAUGAUGAUCAUGAGAAGCAAUCAUCCAAUUCCUGAUUCUAACCAGAUACAGGCAAGUGAUGCAAAAGCAGGACUUUAAAUACUAUUUCAGAGUAGAAAACAGCAGUUGUUAACUUCAGCGAGGAAGGAAGACCUCUUGAUGAAUUGGUACCAACAGGAGAAGACCUUGCUGGAAGCUGACCAGGGGAAGAAGCCAUGUUUACAUUGUUGAUGCAUGACCAUUUGAAGAAUGGUUUGAUAAACUACCCUUCUGUAAUCUGUAGUCAGUAGAACUCUUCCCGACUAAUCCUAGUUGUCCCCAAAAACAAUUUUUGUGGGAGAGAAAAUAGAUUAGAGUUCGUAGUUCAUACUUACCUUUAUACAAGAGAUUGUGCUAUACUCUAGGCGCUUAAACGUUUUCGUGAAUCUAGCUGAAACGAAAUGAUUCAUUUCAAUUUAGAGCAACCGAAAAAGCGAAGAAUUAAUUUGUUGCUCCUAUUCUUCUUCGAAUAUCCUCAUGUUUUUGGUGAGUCAUUAUUGCCAUAUUUGGUGCUGAAGAUAAUUCUUUAAAUGAAUACAUAUAGCCUCUCUUUAAAUGCUUAGCUUUUAAUCGAGAUACUUCAACAUAACAUCGUAACUAAGCAAAAGACAUGAGUUCGAGUCUCAUUGCCAACUUUUAAAGGAAAAUUGUGAAUGAUUUAGACAUUGGAUAAAAAAAUGAAUCUGAUCUGCAAGUUAGAUCCAUGCUGAAGACGAGAUUUAAAAGAACAUGUGUGGCUUCUCUUUUAUAGCUUAAGCUUUUAUACAUAAUGGUUCAACAUCUGGCAAUAUUUGUGUUUUUGGAAACUAGCUGCUGGUACAUUUUGCAUCUGAUACUUGGCACAUGGUUUGUUGACAAGUUAUUGACAAAAUAUGGAGUAUCCAGGAUUAAUUUCAUUGUUCUUUGAAUCAUUUCAGGUGGCAAUUUUCUUUUUCUGUAUUCUUGUAUCGUGUUGAUUAAAAUCUAUGUUUUUUGAAUUAUUUGACUCUGUUCUAUAGACCAGAAGCUUGGAAGGUAUUGCUUUUAGUAGUUCUCUACUAUUGUUAUGAGGAUGUACCUGAGUCCUUUACUAAUUUAACAGUGUUACUGAUGGAGAUUCUAAUGGAUAUUUGGAAAGACUUGCCAUAAUUAGACUUGAUUUUAGGCAAAAGAAUAAGACCUAUAUUUUGAUUGAUUUUCGAAUAUUUUGUUUCGUUUCCCUUCCAUAAUCAUUAGGUUAAAUUAGGAAUUUCCCUUCUUCAUUAGGAGUUUUAAGCUUAAAAACUGGGGAUUUUGUAUUAGACAUACUAUUGCUUAUUGAAAUAUUGAAUACAUUGAAAUCUGCUUUUUCCCUCUUUCUCUCUGUGUGCUUCUCUCUCCUUUCUUCAUAUCUAUAUUCUAUGUAUACCUACUAUGCUGCAUUGGUUACUCUUUUUCUGUAACUUGAUCUGUCUUUGGUAUACCAAAUUCUUCAUGAUCAUAGUUAUAGAAAAUCACCUGUUAUAUUCAUUUUCAAAUUUUUUGAAGUGUGGACGAAUGUAGUAGUUAGUCUUUUUUUUUUUUAUGGCAUACCAAAUUCUCUAUUGAUCUGAAUUUAUUAAUUUUUUCCAAUAAAUGAAAAUUUUUGAUGACCAUGUGCUAACUUGUUUCACAUACAACAAUGUGGCACUCUAAAUUGAUUAAGUAUGAUAUCAAAUGUCGUCUUCGUAAAAUGGAAGUUCUUGUACUCUGAUACACAACAAUGGGGCAUUUUAAAUUGAUGAAGUAUGAUAUCAAAUGUCAUCUUCUUAGAAUGGAGAAGUUCUUGUACUCUAAACUCUGCUUUAAUAGGAUUUUUUCUUUAAGAAGAAGAAGAAAAUGCGCAAAAAAUAUGAGAUAUAUUUGUUUGAAUGACAUCUCAAUGAAUAUUAUGUUGUGUGACUGACAUUUUCUGUUUGCUUCCUUACUUUGAUUUUGUAGUCAUACACUCAGCAAAUUGUAACAGGGGUGCUAUAAACUUUUUGUGCCUUGCACGUGAACUGGAGGCUGUACUAUGGAUGUGGAGUUGGGGACGAAGUUAACAUGAACUCACUUGGGAAGUGCUUAAAUGUAAGUUCUAGUUACUUUUAGUUAGUUAUGUUGAGGGAUAAAAUCCUUAAACCCUAAAAAUUUCACAUCGAAUAAGGAUGAAAACAUAAACCAAUAAAUGCUUGGGUUACUUCUCUUAAUAAGGUUGAUCUUUUAAGAUGGAACCCUAAGUUUUAAUGAGUUAUUUAGUGCAUGUUUGGCAAAGUUUAAAAUUUGAAUUGGUCAAACAUAUUUUUAUCCACAUAUUUCAUGGGACCCACAACUUAUUACCACCUAUUAUCACACACAUUCCGUGGGUUACAAGCACUUAAAAGUACUACCAAGCAAGCACAACCUAACAUGAUUUUCAUAAUUGCUUCUUUUACUAACAAAAUUUACUAUUCUGAAAAGUGGGCUUUAACUUACCUUCCGGAAAAAGUAACUUUUAAGCAACAAGAAGCGUGCUCAAGUCAAAUUUUGCUAUUUGAUUCUUAGCUUCUAAUUUGCCUUUCCAGAAAUAUUACCACAUUAUUUUGAGUUUCUUCUCUGAUGUGAAUUCCAUCAAUUUCAGUAAACAGUCCUGGUAUGCUGUUGCAAAUUACAGGGUACUAAUAAAAAUCGAACAAGGAAAUCGACGAGACUGGAGCACAAUCUAGAGAUUAGCAAUUAAAGCUCAAGUAUCAUCUACUAUUGCUUUCUGCUAAAAGGUUUGUAUUUUCUUCCCUAGUUAUUGUUUUCAUUAUCAUUUUCAAAUAUUUAUGAUGAAACCAUGAUGCUAUGAAUGUAACUUGAUUUGCAUGUCCUGAAUUUUCUCGAAGUGACGUAGAAGAGGUUUUGUAAAGGUGUGUUAUUGGAUAAUGUUUGAUAAUUGGAAAUAAGGGUUGAAGUGUCUGUCUGGAAUCAUUCCUAGUUAUGGACAGUGGUCUCGUUAAUUGUGUUUUAUGCUUUUGUUUAGAAGGCAAGAAUCAUAUAUUUUUCCUUGUACAUGCCUGGAUAUUGAGAAGGCUGUAUUUGCAAGUUUUUUCAUGUUAGUUUUGGUGGGGUUUAGAAUUACUUAAAAACUGUUGGGAAAGUAAGGAAGGACAAGGUGAAAAAUGAGACGUAAAUUACACGAGCACUUAAAUUUCUUGUUAUAAAGUAAAGAACUAUGGAACAUUUAGGGAUUGCUUCAUUCGACUCAACUCUGCAGAAACCAAAUAAAAAAGCUACGAACUUUGGGAUACAAAUUUCAAACUUCUCAUUUAUGUUCCUUCUUUUGGUUCUAGACAUCUUUCAUAUUAUUAAGUCAGUCGUGAUCACUGAACACGGAUGCUGUUAUUUCUAUAAACUGACUUAUUUUAUCUUUCGUUUAAACUCAGGUAUGGAUUCAACAUCUCUUUGCAUAUCUACUUGACUCGAGAAAACGUUCUUUGUUGUGUUAUAUUCUGUUAGGAGGAAAAAUAUUGUUCAAUGUACCAUAGAAAGGAUCAUACUGUGGAUAUGAUUUUCCUGGCUCAUGAUUUCAACGAAAGCUCUUAGAUUUGUGGGUUUGUACGCAUUGUGUUGUAUUUUUGCUUUUGGAUAUAAAUGAAACGUUUAUUUUGGAUUUCUAAAAGUAGAGUGAUCGACUGGAGUACAAUGGUUGAGGCAAGAC
rnacentral:lncRNA from 1 species